rnacentral:lncRNA from 1 species
AAAAAAAGCUGGUGUUAUCAUUUACAGACAAAUUCUAACAGAGGAGCAGGCCAUAAAAGCUUGGGAAAAAACAUUUUAAAGUGUCCAGCUGCCUCUGGUUUAUGUGAAGAAAGAAGAUGAAAAAUGAGAAGGCAGGAUCGGUAACCACUUUACCUACAAUGGUUAGAGAAGGCGAGAAUUGGAAUCUGAAUGCUAAGAAGAGGCAGCUAAGAGAAGAUCUGAAAAUCAAACAUUUCUAACAGAAGGCACAGAAAGGGUUCCCAGGAAUCUCAAGAAGUAUCAAAGAACUGAGACUUACCAGAUCACCACACCCAGAUAAUGAGUUGCCGACCCCUCAUUCAUCGUGACUGCUUCCUUGCCCCUUCCCAGUUCCUGCUUUCUUAUACAUUGUUACGUUUCUUCCCUGCUGUCUAAACUCUUACUUUUGGUGGGUCAGGAGAUGGAUUAGAGACUGAUCUCCCAUCUCCUGGGCUGCAGCACCCGAUUAAAGCCUUCUUCCUUGGCAAUACUCGUCAUUUCAGUGACUGGCUUCCUGUUCAGCGAGAAGCAGGAACUAGACCAAACAUGUUUUGGUAACACAAGGACCACUUCGUGUAGGGUUAUGUGGAGUUUGUUAAGAAAUUUGGAUUUUAUUUUGUUUCUAAAGAAAGCCACAGACUUUUUGACAUGAACAACUAUCAGUGAGAAGAUAGUAUAGACAGGAGGAAACAAACUCUUUUUACCUCAGACCAUCAUGGGACAGACAGAGACAGCUGAAACAAGAGACUCAGUCAUAUUUCCAGGAGAAUAAAUGCGGUUAGGAUUUUGAAUUAUAUGAUCAGUGUAUCUCUUGGCUAUGGGAACAACUCAGGCUUCAUGAGGGCACUGCCAUGAAUAUAAGGGGACAAUGGAAUCUUUAUUCACAGAAGUCAAAGAUCCAGAGGGGCAAGUAGAAAGUUGUAAAACUUAGGCAUAGGGACCAAAGAUGAUAUAUGACCCCACAGAAUAAGUUAAUUUUGGAGAGAACAAAAAGAGCCAUGAAUCUAGGCAGAAUGAUUCCUUGAUGGCUAUCUCAGAAAUCUAGGAUCCUGAGUCAGAUUGAUUCUGAGAAAGAACAAGUGGAGAGAGUAGGGGUCUACCAAGCAAUGACAUUUUGAAGUCCUCAUAAGUUUGCGAUGCUUACAGCUCUUCUGUAGUUGCUGCCCUUGGCUAGUAACUUGGAUAUGCUGAACACCAAAUGUGGGAAAAUCUUGGAGGUGUGGGAAGCUAUAAAUAAAGACAUUGCAAUGGAACAGGAGGUAAAAAGUUGCAUUACAAAAGCCUGUUUUUAAAAAAAUGAAACUUACUAAACUGCAUCUGGAAAUUACACUGUGUUUGUAAGUUAUACAACCAAAUGAAUAUUCCUUCACAAGACUCACCUUGGAAGCCAGACAUUAAUUUCGAAAAAAUGCUUUUUUUUCUCAUGGCAAUUUCAGAGCUCUUUUACAAGACAUGCAGGUGCAUACUUUUGUGACCAAACUUGUCUGAUCUCUUCAGUAACAUUCCUCUUUGAUCUGUGACUGAAGGCUGGUUCUCAAGUCAAAUCGACUCUAAAGAACGAGUAUUUAUCACCGCUUAUAAGUUUUCACAAAAUAUUCUUUUAAUUUUGAAGACAUGUUCAAAAUUAUUUUGAGUGUCACACCAUCAUUAUAAAGCAAGAAAUUCCUGAAGUAACUACAGGAUUUUUCUGCUUUCAUUUAUAAUUAAUUCUUAAAACUUUCUACGAAAAACUCCACAUAAAAAGUCAAAUGAUAAACUAUUCCUUAUAAACU